rnacentral:rRNA from 1 species
UGAGGAAUUUUGCGCAAUGGGGGAAACCCUUCCUCAUCAACGCCGCGUGAGUGAAGAAGGCUUUCGGGUCGUAAAGCUCUGUCAAGAGGGAAGAAAGUGGGAGAUGGUAAUACUGUUUUCUAUUGACGGUACCUCUGAAGGAAGCACCGGCUAACUCCGUGCCAGCAGCCGCGGUAAUACGGGGGGUGCAAGCGUUAUUCGGAUUUAUUGGGCGUAAAGAGCGCGUAGGCGGUUUAUCAAGUCAACAGUGAAAGCCCUGGGCUCAACCUGGGAAGUGCAUUUGAAACUAGUAGACUUGAGUAUGGGAGAGGGAAGUGGAAUUCCUGGUGUAGAGGUGAAAUUCGUAGAUAUCAGGAGGAACACCGGUGGCGAAGGCGACUUCCUGGACCAAUACUGACGCUGAGGCACGAAGAAGGGAGGAGAAAACAGG